CCUACGGGAGGCAGCAGUGGGGAAUAUUGGACAAUGGGCGCAAGCCUGAUCCAGCCAUGCCGCGUGAGUGAUGAAGGCCUUAGGGUUGUAAAGCUCUUUCACCGGUGAAGAUAAUGACGUAACCGAGAGAGACGUUCCA
rnacentral:rRNA from 1 species